UCAGGAUGAACGCUAGCGACAGGCCUAACACAUGCAAGUCGAGGGGCAACACAAGGAGCAAUCUGAGGUGGCGACCGGCGCACGGGUGAGUAACACGUAUGCAACCUGCCUGUAAGCGGGGAAUAACCCGUUGAAAGACGGACUAAUACCGCAUAAUACUAAAUUACUGCAUGGUAAUUUAUUUAAACAUUUAUGGCUUACAGAUGGGCAUGCGCAUGAUUAGCUAGUUGGAGAGGUAACGGCUCCCCAAGGCAACGAUCAUUAGGGGUUCUGAGAGGAAGGUCCCCCCACACUGGUACUGAGACACGGACCAGACUCCUACGGGAGGCAGCAGUGAGGAAUAUUGGUCAAUGGACGAGAGUCUGAACCAGCCAAGUCGCGUGCAGGAAGAAUUGUCCUAUGGAUUGUAAACUGCUUUUGCAGGGGAAUAAAGUGCAUCACGUGUGAUGUUUUGUAUGUACUCUGCGAAUAAGGAUCGGCUAACUCCGUGCCAGCCGCCGC
rnacentral:rRNA from 1 species